CAGCACCGAAUCCCAUAUGAUCACCAAAGUUAAGCAAUGUUUUGUAUGGUCACUACUUAGAUGGGUGACCACUGGGAAUACUCGGUGCUGUAAG